rnacentral:rRNA from 1 species
CCUACGGGCGGCUGCAGUGGGGAAUAUUGGACAAUGGGCGAAAGCCUGAUCCAGCCAUGCCGCGUGUGUGAAGAAGGCCUUCGGGUUGUAAAGCACUUUCAGUGGGGAAGAAAGCCUUGUGGCUAAUACCCUCGAGGAAGGACAUCACCCACAGAAGAAGCACCGGCUAACUCCGUGCCAGCAGCCGCGGUAAUACGGAGGGUGCGAGCGUUAAUCGGAAUUACUGGGCGUAAAGCGCGCGUAGGCGGUCUGAUAAGCCGGUUGUGAAAGCCCCGGGCUCAACCUGGGAACGGCAUCCGGAACUGUCAGGCUAGAGUGCAGGAGAGGAAGGUAGAAUUCCCGGUGUAGCGGUGAAAUGCGUAGAGAUCUGGAGGAAUACCAGUGGCGAAGGCGGCCUUCUGGACUGACACUGACGCUGAGGUGCGAAAGCGUGGGUAGCAAACAGGAUUAGAUACCCGGGUAGUC